rfam:Anaerosporomusa subterraneum strain RT4 RT4_contig_6, whole genome shotgun sequence.
UCCUGUGACGAUAGCUGUGUGGUUCCACCCGUUCCCAUUCCGAACACGGCAGUUAAGCACACAUACGCCGAAAGUACUUGGCUGGUGACGGCCUGGGAGGAUAGGUAGUCGCAGGUU